rnacentral:rRNA from 1 species
GACGAACGCUGGCGGCGUGCUUAACACAUGCAAGUCGAACGGAAAGGCCUCUUUCGGGGGGUACUCAAGAGUCGAACGGGUGAGUAACACGUGAGUAACCUGCCCUUGACAUUGUGAUAACUUCAGGAAACUGGGGCUAAUACCGGAGAGGAGCUCCUGCUGCAUGGGGUGGGUUGGGAGGUUUCGGCGGUGGGGGAUGGACUCGCGGCUUAUCAGCUUGUUGGUGGGGUAGUGGCUUACCAAGGCUUUGACGGGUAGCCGGCCUGAGAGGGUGACCGGCCACAUUUGGACUGGGAUAAGGCCCAGACUCCCAAGGGAGGCAGCAGUGGGGAAUAUUGCACAAUGGGUCGAAGCCUGAUGCCGCCACGCCGUGUGCGGGAUGGAGGCCUUCGGGUUGUAAACCGCUUUCGCUCAUGAAGAAGCUUUGUGUGACGGUAGUGGGUAAAGAAGCACCGGCUAACUACGUG